rnacentral:rRNA from 1 species
UACGGAGGAGGCAAGCGUUAUCCGGAAUUAUUGGGCGUAAAGCGUCCGUAGGUGGCACUUCAAGUCUGCUGUCAAAGACCGGGGCUUAACCCUGGAAAGGCGGUGGAAACUGAGGAGCUAGAGAGAGGUAGGGGUAGAGGGAAUUCCCAGUGUAGCGGUGAAAUGCGUAGAGAUUGGGAAGAACAUCGGUGGCGAAAGCGCUCUACUGGACCUCAUCUGACACUCAGGGACGAAAGCUAGGGGAGCGAAUGGG